UUUCCGUAGGUGAACCUGCGGAAGGAUCAUUAAUGAGUUGUCAUGGGGUUCGAUGCUGGCAGCCAAUUUUUGGAUGCAUGUGCUUGCCCUAACAAUCAUCUUCCAAACACCUGUGCACAUUUUUGAGGGAGUCUUGAGUUGGUUGCCGCUCUUGGGUGAUUUUCUCACAUUCCCUUAAAUCAUUAUACGCUAUUAACAAUGUUGAACGUGCUCUGUGCCGCAAGGCUAUUAAUAUAAUACAACUUUUAACAACGGAUCUCUUGGCUCUCGCAUCGACGAAGAACGCAGC
rnacentral:misc_RNA from 1 species